rnacentral:rRNA from 1 species
GACAGAGGGUGCAAACGUUGCUCGGAAUCACUGGGCGUAAAGGGCGUGUAGGCGGGUAGAUAAGUCGGGCGUGAAAUCCCUAGGCCCAACCUAGGAACUGCACUCGAAACUGUUUAUCUUGAGUGCCGGAGAGGAAAGCGGAAUUCCUGGUGUAGAGGUGAAAUUCGUAGAUAUCAGGAGGAACACCAGUGGCGAAGGCGGCUUUCUGGACGGUAACUGACGCUGAGACGCGAAAGCGUGGGGAGCAAACAGG